GGGGGUAUAGCUCAAUUGGGAGAGCAGUAGACUGAAGCAUAUUUCCUAUCUAAAGGUCCCGCGUUCGAUCCGCGGUACCCCCA